AAACUAACAAGGAUUCCCCUAGUAACGGCGAGUGAAGCGGGAUGAGCUCAAGCUUAAAAUCUCUGUGCCAGUUUGGCAUGGCGAAUUGUAGUCUAUGGAGGCGCUAUCAGUGCGAUUGUUCGGGGUAAGUUCCUUGGAAGAGGACAGCAUCGAGGGUGAUACUCCCGUAUGUACCUGUUCAGUCGCGCGUACGAUACGUUUUCUUUGAGUCGCGUUGUUUGGGAAUGCAGCGCAAAGUAGGUGGUAAAUUCCAUCUAAAGCUAAAUAUUGGUGCGAGACCGAUAGCGAACAAGUACCGUGAGGGAAAGAUGAAAAGAACUUUGAAAAGAGAGUUAAAGAGUACCUGAAACUGCUGAAAGGGAACCGAAUCGUUUCCAGUGUCUAUAAUCCAUGGUAUAUUUCAUUGGUGUGUAAGUGCGUGCAGCGUUUUGGAAGUAGUUUUCUGCUCCUGUCGUUGUUGUGCAUUUGCCUGCUGGUGCCCUGUGCUGUGGUGGGACGUCAGAGUCAGUUCGUGUGUUGCGGGAAAUGGUUAUUGGGGAGGUAGGUCACUUCGGUGGCUGUUAUAUCCUGGUAACUAGUCGUCGUGGCUGGGACUGAGGUGCCUACAACGUGCUUUUGAGUCUGCGGGCUUCUCGUGUUGCUGUUUGCUUGGAUAGCUUGCUAUGUUCGUAAAUAAGUCGUGCGAUUGAGACCUGUAGUAACUUGUUGCCGUUCGGGACUUUGACGAAAUGGAGCGAUCCGAC
rnacentral:rRNA from 1 species